UCUCUAUCUCUAUAACUCUCUCUCUCUCUCUAUCUCUAAGUCACAAGCCCCCUCACCCUUCUCAUGCUUUCUUAAAUAUAUUCUCAUUUAUCUCACCACACUCAACCUCCUAUUCUUUGGCUUCCUCCCUUUCCCUCAACACAAUAUAUCUCCCUCCCUCUCUUCCUCUCCCUCCCCAUUCCAUCCUUCCUCCUCCUUCCCCUCUCUCUAAAAUCCCAAAGGAAGAGAAGGAUUGGAGAUGGCAGGCCACAAGGGAGAGGACUUUGCUUCUCAAACAGAGCAGGUCAGAAAAAUCCCAAUCCUUAAAAUCUCUGUUUUUAUUUGAUUUAUGGCUUUAGAUAUUACUCUGUUUCUCUCUGUUUUUGUCUGUUUGUUAAAAAAAAAAAACAGAGCUUCUUCUUUGAUUUGUUUAGCUGAAUGAUCCUCUAUUGGAAUAACUCUAUUUUCUCUUAAGUCCUUCAACAAUUGAUAAUUA